CACACUGCCUGCCCGCCUCGCAGCACCUGCGGCGACCCUCCUCCGCGCGCUCGCUCCGGUCAAUCCCCGCGCCUCCGCUCGGCGUGCCUCCUGCUCCUGGCCACGCUGCGCCACGCCGGUGCUGGUGCGGGCUGCGCCGCCCACGCCACCGGGGCUCGGCGUGCUCCUGCUCCUGGCCACGCUGCGCCACACCGGCGCUGGUGCGGGCUGCGUCGCCCACGCCACCGGGGCUGGCCGCGCCGACCACACGCCAGAUGUGCUGGCCGCGCUACCUGGCGACCCCAGCUAGCGGCCGCCGCCCUCGGCGGCUGCCGACGACUGGCGCUCGCGACUGCCGGGCGCCGGAUGCACAUGCCACCGGAGAGGGGGGGAUCAUCUUGCUGGUGCUCAGUUUUGAAUCUUGGGAUGCACACAAUCUGUUUGACUAAAUGCUUCAGGUUGGAGACGGUCACGGUGGCUCCAGUGCUGGGGAUCGCAAGAGCUCCUUGGCAUUUCGUUAAGAACAUGGGCUGAGAAUGACAAUACAAAGAAAAGGAAUUUUAAAGACUUCGAUGAUAAUCAGCAGGACUCGAAUGGUAGUAGCGAUGAUGACAAUACCCCUUUGAAACAAACUAAAAGAACACGCUCACAAGGGAAGAUCAACCAGUAAGGAUAUAUCAUGCUUCACAAUGUAAAAACUACAUAUCAAGUGGAUUGCUUUUGGAUAGGAGCUAGCACCAGCUAUGUCUACAUAUGAACAAAUAGAAACUAUCUUUUGUUGUAUAUAACGCCUCUGAGAAGAAUGGUUAGAGGAGCUGGAACUAAUAUCAACAAUGUGAAAAAAAGGUGGAUCUUUUGUUAUAAAUACUCCCUAGAGGAUCAGUUUCCACCUCAUCUGUUCUCGCUUUUGGACAGAAACUAUCUUUUGUUGUUUUGUUGUAUAUAACAGCUCUAAGAACAAUAGUCAGAGCAGAAGAUCCUCACCCUUUUCUUAUAAAUAUUACAUAUUGCCAAUCCUA